UGAAAUGGAUUGAGCUACUCCUGCUUCACGUA
rnacentral:piRNA from 1 species